rnacentral:rRNA from 1 species
UCAGGUGGUUAUAGCACGAGGGGUUCCACCUCUUCCCAUUCCGAACAGAGAAGUUAAGCCUCGUCACGCCGAUGGUACUGCGUAACAGUGGGAGAUAGGUAGCCGCCGUUU